GUAGUCUUCAUGGUACGAGCUGAGGGAAAUGAAUGAACUUAAGAACAAGGAAGCAUAUCUGGCUUCAGAUUAUAUUGUACUACACAUGUAUAGUACAACUUGAAGUAUAAACUUGGUAUGGCUUUAAAAGUUUCAAACUUUAUAGGUUCAGAUGUUUGAAUUAUUGAUUUUAACGCUUUUGAUCUAUCAUAUGACUUAUGAUAUAGAAAAAUACUAUUCAAGUUUAUCCAGAGUUAUAUAUAUGUUACAACUUAGAAAUGUCAAUGGUGAAGUAAGGAUUUCAACCACCCAACCUUUUGUAGAUGAAGGUUUUAGAGGGGGGAGGUGAAUAGGCCCUUAACAACUUUUUUUCCAUAUAAAUUUGUUCUUAGAGAUAACAAGGGUUAUAGUUAUUGUCAUGACCCACCCCGAAUUUCACCCUGAAACCCGAAGUAAAUCCUACGGGGACCACCUCCAAGGAAAGUUUACCGAAAAAUUCAGCAUAACCCCCCUUGAAAAUGGACAACCCUUCCUAAUAAUACCUGCAUACACUUCAAAAGAAUCCAUUUAUAAUCCUCUACUCCUGGAGCCUUCGUGCUCCCCAAAUCACAACACCACCCAAAAUUUACUAAUCUAAACAAAUCUCCUAUCCAACCAUUUAUAGGUUCAGAGCAACUCUAACAAGAAUAAAGGAAACAAAAUAAAUUAACAAGCGGAAGCUAUAUGAUGACUAUGCCUCAUCUCCAGGUACGCCCGACCUCAACUAAGCUAACCUGCAAGCUGGGUAUUUUUAAAACGAAGGGCUCAGGGGAAAACAUUUGAAACACGUUAGAGUGAGUGGACAAAAUCAUAAAUUUAAUGAAAAUAUUUAUGCUUUCCCAAUUACAUUUCCAUAGAAAAUAUGCUGCAUACGACAGCUCAAAAACGCUCAACACAAAAACUGGCAAUUUCAUGACUAGCUCCGGCCAGUCUCCAAAGCACAAUAAAAUACAGUCUCUCAGGCUAAAAUAAAAUAUGUAUGUAUUACACUCGUCAUAUCCCUUGUAUGAAUUUUCUUGAAACAACAAAGACAAAUAGAAAAUUCACACAAGGCUACGACGUUUGCGUCUAACGCUCACGUCGCACCAUAAUGGCAUUUUACCUCAUUAUGGUGGAAAAGACAGUGUAUAAAUAUAUACGCGCAUAUCCCCUAUAUAAAUUAUUAUAUUUAUAUAGGGCUACGACGAUUGCGUCUAACGCUCACGUCGCACCAUAAUGGAAUUUUUACCUCAGUAUGGUGGAAAAGCACAUAUAGCUAGCUAGCAUUCCUUCAUAUACAUAUUAUUCUCAUAAUCAUCCAACUAUGGAUAUAUAUAUAUAUAUAUACAUACUCACCGAAAAUCUCAUUUUCAAUAACUCUUCAAAAAUAAUAAAAAUUGUCAAUUGCAAAAGAAGUAAUAAAUAUAUGGCUACACCAAAAAUCUCAUUUCCGAUAACUUUCCAAAUAGCGAAAUUAACAAAAUAAAAUAAGAGCAUUUACUUCCAAAAAUAACUUCGCGAAAAUAAACAAUUCCACAAAUUGAUAUUCAAUAAAAUCAUUCAUUUAAAAUGAAAUCACCGCAUGCUUAUAAUUUAAAACGAACGUCCACUCACAACUCUAGGCAUAAGCCCGACGAAAUCCAAAUCGCCACUCCAAUGAGGUUUCCUCGAACCCUGGCACAAAUAUAUAAUUAAAUUCUCAACUAAAAUCCAAUAUUUAAACAAAAUAGGCAAAAUUAAAUAUGAGCCGCAACCACGCUUAUCCUUGCCCAACUUCGCAUUUCCUAAAACGAAACGAUCCAACUUUAAUACCAUAAUCGGCAGCCAUAAUUACAACUUCCCCCAGAAAAUGACUUAAAUCCUACGGCCGGAUUCUACCUUAUUUAUCGCCAAAAUUACCAAACUUCGGAAAUUCACAAACCUAUCCAAAACUCAUCCAAAAAUUCCAAAGUUCACAUCAUUAAACUCCCCUUAAUAUUCCACACUUAAAACUAUACAAAAUUCCCAACCAGCGGCCGCGCCGGAGGCGGCUCCGCGGGCAGCGGCGGCCGGAGGCCGAUUCCGGCGACCUCCAAUGCCCACCAAAUUUUAACAGCAUCUUCCUCUCAACUCCCUCUACAACUUUCCUAACUAGCAUAAACACAAAAUCCAAGCCUAGCUAGGGCAAUCGAACACAAACACCUAAAGAGCCCUAGGAUUUCAACUUUAAAUUUCUCCUUACCUAGCUGAAGAGGGAGUGAGCCUUUUGGAAGGAUUGAUGCACGGGAGGAGAGCUUCAAAACCAUAUAAGGCUUGCCCGGAUUAGUGGCCGGAGGAGGAAGUUCCGACGACCGGAAGUUCUGGGCAGUCAAACCUUUCGGGCGGCACCGCUCUCUCACGGUGGAGCUAGGGCUCCUCUCACCGGUCCAGGGAGGUUGCUGGGUUGGAGGUCGACCGAACGGGGCCGGUGCGGCGGCGGUUGGUGGCCGGACGACGGCGGAUGAGCAGCCGGAAGUUUCAGCUGCGGGAAAGCUCGAGGAUGAGGCCGGGAGGGAGAGAUGAAGAGAGAGGGAAAAGAAAUGGGUGUUUGGGCCUCACACCCACCCGGUCCAACACCAUAUAACAACCCACUCCAAAAUAAAACACCCCGAAAAAAAAUAAUACCCGAAUAAAAAUUACCUUUUACUAGCUAAAAUUUACCAUUUUUACCGUCGUCAUAUUUUCUUCCUACGAAUAAUCCUCCGCACAUAACCGUCCCCGAAACCCGUCUAGGGACCAAUUAAAACUAUAACCUCAAUGACGGAGACGGUAAAAUUCUUAUUAUAACCAAGCUAGUAAAUAAGGUAAAAAUUUACGGGUCGGGAUGUGACAAUUCUCCCCUCCUUAUAAAAAUUUCGUCCUCGAAAUUUACAUACCUGACAUUCGAAGAGAUAAGGAUACUGCUGCCUCAUUUGCUUCUCUGAUUCCCAAGUAGUUUCCUCUACUUGACGACUUCUCCAUAGAACUUUAACAAGAGGAAAAUGAUUUGCUUCUAAGCACUUGCUCCUUUGGGUCAAGAAUCUGAACCGGCUCCUUAUCAUAGGUCAAAACUUUUUCCAAUUAAUCGGCUGCUCUUGCAACACAUGAGAGAAAUCGGAAAUAAACUUGCGAAGCAUGGAUACAUGAAACACAUUAUGUAUCUUGGAUAACUCUGGAGGCAAAACUAAUCGAUACGCAAGAGAGCCAACUUGAUCUUAAAACCCAUAAGGACCAAUAAAUCUCGGACCAAGCUUUUCACAUCACCAAAACGUAUCACCCCUUUCCAAGGAGACAAUUUCGAAAAACACCCCAAAUACUCACUUGAAACUCAUGGUCCUUCCUGCGGACAUCUUUAUAACUCUUCUGGCUACUAUGACUUGCUUUGAGUGUAUCUCGGACUCCUUUAACCUUUUUAUUUGAAUCUUGUAUUAUUUUAGAUCUUAUCAAAGACUCUAAAUCCUUCGUUGAACUACCACUAACGUUUACACGUAAGUGGGUUCAGUGAUACCUGCUCUAGGGUACGAGUACCCGUAGGUAUGCACACUCUUUCCUGAGCAAUGGAAAUAGCUAACUCAAAUAAAGCGCAUAAAUUGCUAUCACCAUCAGGCUAAAAUCUCCUAACGUCACGCAACAACCUCGUCAUUACGCUGCUCACAGCUCGACAAUGAAGCCCACUUGCUAGGAAACUAAAGUUCACACGUUCCCACAUGCUCAUAGGGGUCAAAAUUAAGACCCGUUAAUUGAACAGAUUUUUUAAGGAUGCACACACUGCAGAACUGCAAUAAUCACUUCUAAUGCCGAGACAUUUCGUAGAGUCUUUCGCGGAGUCAAAGCUCUCGCAAGUCCACAAGACAACCUUGCUCUCCACCAACAUAUGAUAACCUCGAUUCUCGAAAUAACAUUAUGAAAAGAUCAAAACCACGCCACUUGGGUCUCUCCACCAAAACUAUUACAUUACCUUUUUGAACACCACAAACUAGCAGCUUAUGAGAAUUUCAACUCUCUUAUGAUUCUGCUAUCUCCACUACUACACUUUGUGGCUCACCAACCAACGAAAACCAUAUAAUCAAGAAAAGCAAAAAUUCAUGGCUAAACUCAGCUCAAAUUCCAGAAGAAAUAACUGAAAACACACGAAAGGCACGUCCUCUAACUUCGAGCUCAAAAGCUCCACAAAUCAGCGACGUCCACUAGAACCCGCUUCGAAAACGCACUAGAAACCAACAUUUAAAUAGUGAUUUCAACUAAUCACUCUGACACAAACGGAGGAACACAACCAAAAAGCAAAGACCUCCCAAAAUCAAACUUGGAUCAAUAAGUGGUCCCACCAUAAUACGAUCUCGAGAAAAGAUAUCGAUCGACUUACCAAUAUCUCUACUAACCACAACACGCAACUCUUAAUAAACCUUGACUCGAAAAGCUUCUUGAGUCAACAGGGGAAAACCCUUUUCCAUAAUGCUACAUCAUGAAAUAUACCUAUAACGAAGCAAACCAUCAUAAUCAACAUCACCAUGCAACUCUCAAACUACCACAUAGGAUUUACGGCAUCGAGACUCACCGCUUAAAUGAACUCCAGCUCACUUGGGAUCACCACUGGAUUUAUUCCGAAUCCAUGACUACGACACAACUACCAAUUUAUCAUUUACCUCGAAACUUCGACAAAAUAACCAAAAUCUCUACCCUUCAAAUCGAAGCGUUGAAUUCGCAUUCCAUAAUUUCAAGCUCUGACGAUACUACCCAAAAACUACAGUAGGAAUAAUUUAAAUAUUCUCACACACACCACAACCAAAACUUUGCUGCAUCUCACCAAAUUAUAAAUAAGGUGAGUGAACAUAUACUCCCAUUGAGGUGUCGUAGCUAGCCACCAAAUGCUAACGAAAAGAUGUUAGCAAACAACUCCGAUCGUGAAGUCGAGACUUAAAUCAACCACCCGAAAUGACACUGCUUAAAAAAAAAAAAUUACUUUGGACACCCACGCACUCUUGCUCCAUGAUCCAGUGGGUUUUAUUCCACUGCUACUACUUCCACCAACUCCACACAACUGCUAAAGAAUACCUAUGACAACACGUAAUAAAUUCACCAGGUGUUGUCAUAAAACUGGAGUGACCACAACCAUCCCGCUCUCACUCCACCAUUACUUUUCAAUUCCAUUACAUUAUCAUCUUCCCAAACACUCAACAAAUUUGGAAACCAAACUUCAACAUCUGGAAUUCCGAAAGAAACCAUAAUGGCCCCACGAUUAAAAUAAUAUAACUGACAUCUCACUCCCCGAUUCCAAACUCGCUUGAAACUCAAAACAUUUAGUGCCAUCAAUAAAAUUUUAAAAAUUCCCCGAUUGUGGCACAACAAGAAGUUGUCACAACGCACUGACGAAUGACUUUUGUAAAACCAACAAUCCAAUUCAUUCUAUUUAGAGCUUUAACAAACUUCAACUAACCCACAAUAGAGACCAAAAUCAUCAGAAAUCUUUCUUUUCAUCGACUAUUAUCAUCCAUCAUUUUCAAAAUAUAUUACCGCUGCCAUCUUAAUAAAAUGCUCUAAGGAUAGAAACAUAUCUGUAAUUAGCACUGCAGAAACCAGAAUAUAUACCACCACAACCAAAAUUAUCCCAACAUGCUCCCAAUUGAUUUAUGUUGCGGAUAAAAUUGUCGGCAAAAUGGCCUUCAAUCAAGACUCAACUAAAUCGACAUUUAGCUCUUUAUGCAGCAAUGCCUUACCACCCAAUCACUAGCACAAAUUUCCUAAAACCUUAUUUAACCCAAGACUAGGGUUCCCAACAACUCAUAUAGGUACCCCUUUGAAUUACCACUGGAUACCUCACCUCAUCAUUUCAACUAACUUUUACAGCAAUAGAAUACACCACUACUUCAAACUUUCCUUCCAACUCGACUCUUUCAGAAGUCACGUAACUCAAUACCAAAAUCUCCCAUCAAACAAUUUUUGACUCCAAUCUUGCCCACUAAAAAUGGACGACUCCACGACAUUAAUCAUCAACAUUUCACCCAACAGAUUUGCACAAGAUGCUCACCUUAGCAUCUUGAUCAUAACCCAAACAAUCAUUGAUCACAUGAAAGGAAUGCUAUCCAGCUUAUGAGUUCCCAACUGGAGUUCCCAACUCGCAAUUGAACUCUAACACUUUAAGAUAUCAACUCAAUAACCCUUGGAAAAGACGUCAACCAAACACCUAUUUCCUUAUUCAAAGCAUGAUGAUUACUUAAGAGGUCGGCAUACAGAGGCAUAGUCUUGAUGAUAUGGACAUUUAUGGCACAAUACUGUCCAUAAAAAGAUAGAAACAACUACAUCACAAACCUAAUCAACACAUGGUGUCUAAAGCAUAUAAUGCUGAUAGAUCCGCCGCGGUCAGACCAUCACUCUAUAGACACAAAGUAUGACCAAGAAUAUGAGGUAGUACUAAAAAGAGAAAGGAACUGAAUAACCUAGUGCUCUGAUACCAACUGUCAGAACCCACCCCGAAUUUCACCUUGAAACUCGAAGUAAAUCCUGCGGUGACCACCUCUAAGGAAAGUUUACCGAAAAAUUCGGCAUAACCUCCCUUGAAAAUGGACAACCCUUCCUAAUAAUACCUGCAUACACUUCAAAAGAAUCCAUUUAUAAUCCUCUACUCCUGGAGCCUUCGUGCUCCCCAAAUCACAACACCACCCAAAAUUUACUAAUCUAAACAAAUCUCCUAUCCAACCAUUUAUAGGUUCAGAGCAACUCUAACAGGAAUAAAGGAAACAAAAUAAAUUAACAAGCGGAAGCUAUAUGAUGACUAUGCCUCAUCUCCAGGUACGCUCGACCUCAACUAAGCUAACCUGCAAGUUGGGUAUUUUUAAAACGAAGGGCCCAGGGGAAAACAUUUGAAACACGUUAGAGUGAGUGGACAAAAUCAUAAAUUUAACGAAAAUAUUUAUGCUUUCCCAAUUACAUUUCCAUAGAAAAUAUGCUGCAUACGACAGCUCAAAAACGCUCAACACAAAAACUGGCAAUUUCAUGACUAGCUCCGGCCACUCUCCAAAGCUCAAUAAAAUACAGUCUCUCAGGCUAAAAUAAAAUAUGUAUGUAUUACACUCAUCAUAUCCCUUGUCUGAAUUUUCUAUUUGUCUUUGUUGUUUUAAGAAAAUUCACACAAGGCUACGACGCUUGCGUCUAACGCUCACGUCGCACCAUAAUGGCAUUUUACCUCAUUAUGGUGGAAAAGACGGUGUAUAAAUAUAUACGCGCAUAUCCCCUAUAUAAAUUAUUAUAUUUAUAUAGGGCUACGACGAUUGCGUCUAACGCUCACGUCACACCAUAAUAGAAUUUUUACCUCAGUAUGGUGGAAAAGCACGUAUAGCUAGCUAGCAUUCCUUCAUAUACAUAUUAUUCUCAUAAUCGUCCAAAUAUGGAUAUAUAUAUAUACAUACUCACCGAAAAUCUAAUUUUCAGUAACUCUUCAAAAAUAAUAAAAAUUGUCAAUUGCAAAAGAAGCAAUAAAUAUAUGGCUACACCGAAAAUCUCAUUUCCGAUAACUUUCCAAAUAGCGAAGUUAACAAAAUAAAAUAAGAGCAUUUACUUCCAAAGAUAACUUCGCGAAAAUAAACAAUUCCACAAAUUGAUAUUCAAUAAAAUCAUUCAUUUAAAAUGAAAUCACCGCAUGCUUAUAAUUUAAAACGAACGUCCACUCACAACUCUAGGCAUAAGCCCGACGAAAUCCAAAUCGCCACUCCAAUGAGGUUUCCUCGAACCCUGGCACAAAUAUAUAAUUAAAUUCCCAACUAAAAUCCAAUAUUUAAACAAAAUAGGCAAAAUUAAAUAUGAACCGCAACCACGCUUAUCCUUGCCCAAUUUCGCUUUUCCUAAAACGAAACGAUCCAACUUUAAUACCAUAAUCGGCAGCCAUAAUUACAACUUCCCCCAGAAAAUGACUUAAAUCCUACGGCCGGAUUCUACCUUAUUAAUCCGCCAAAAUUACCAAACUUCGGAAAUUCACAAACCUAUCCAAAACUCAUCCAAAAAUUCCAAAGUUCACAUCAUUAAACUCCCCUUAAUAUUUCACACUUAAAACUAUACAAAACUCCCAACCAGCGACCGCGCCAGAGGCGGCUCCGCGGGUAGCGGCGGCCGGAGGCCGAUUCCGGCAACCUCCAAUGCCCACCAAAUUUUAACAGCAUCUUCCUCUCAACUCCCUCUACAACUUUCCUAACUAGCACAAACACAAAAUCCAAGCCUAGCUAGGGCAAUCGAACACAAACACCUAAAGAGCCCUAUGAUUUCAACUUUAAAUUUCUCCUUACCUAGCUGAAGAGGGAGUGAGCCUUUUGGAAGGAUUGAUGCACGGGAGGAGAGCUUCAAAACCAUAUAAGGGUUGCCCGGAUUGGUGGCCGGAGGAGGAAGUUCCGACGACCGGAAGUUCUGGGCAGUCAAACCUUUCGGGCGGCACCGCUCUCUCACGGUGGAACUAGGGCUCCUCUCACCGGUCCAGGGAGGUUGCUGGGUUGGAGGUCGACCGAACGGGACCGUUGCGGCGACGGUUGGUGGCCGGACGACGGCGGAUGAGCGGCCAGAAGUUUCGGCUGCGGGAAAGCUCGGGGAUGAAGCCAGGAGGGAGAGAAGAAGAGAGAGGGAAAAGAAAUGGGUGUUUGGGCCUCACACCCACCCAGUCCAACACCAUAUAAAAACCCACUCCAAAAUAAAACACCCCAAAAAAAAAUAAUACCCGAAUAAAAGUUACCUUUUACUAGCUAAAAUUUACCAUUUUUACCGUCAUCAUAUUUUCUUCCUAUGAAUAAUCCUCCGCACAUAACCGUCCCCGAAACCCGUCUAGGGACCAAUUAAAACUAUAACCUCAAUGACGGAGACGGUAAAAUUCUUAUUAUAACCAAGCUAAUAAAUAAGGUAAAAAUUUACGGGUCGGGAUGUGACAGUUAUCCUGAUUUACAAAUACACAAUGACAAUAAAUAAAAGUUGCAGUAAAAUAACAAUGAACACCAAAAUGUUUUUUACUCGUAGAAACCCUGUAAACAGCAAGAAAAACUGUGUGUCCCUAACUCUUGAGGGACAAACCUUUCCACUAUGUAAAACUCACUUCUUACAAGAUUAUAGUCUAAGGAUACAUCAACGACUUGCUCUCUUGCCUAAACUACUCACUAGUCUAGAUCUAUAUUUUCUCUCUUGUGUCUGAGUAUCUCACUCCUUA
rnacentral:lncRNA from 1 species